GUCUGUAAUAGAGGCAGACUGGUGCACAUAUACUGGAAUGAUACAGAGAUUAGCACGGCCCUGUGCAAGGAUGAUACCCAAACUAAUGAUGCGUUCUAUAUUUUA